rnacentral:rRNA from 1 species
UACGUAGGUGGCAAGCGUUGUCCGGAUUUACUGGGCGUAAAGAGCGCGCAGGCGGCCGUUCAAGUCGCGUGUGAAAGCCCCCGGCUCAACUGGGGAGGGUCACGCGAUACUGAUCGACUCGAAGGCAAGAGAGGGUAGUGGAAUUCCCGGUGUAGUGGUGAAAUGCGUAGAUAUCGGGAGGAACACCAGUGGCGAAGGCGACUACCUGGCCUGUUCUUGACGCUGAGGCGCGAAAGCUAGGGGAGCAAACGGG